CACCUGCUCACCACUCCCCAAUUAUCCUCACCUGCUGCUCAUUACCUCAUCAACCCCAGUAUCAUUAACACCAGUCCUCUGCCAUCCAUUCCCUGCCAGAUCAUUAAUGUUACUUUGUUGUAUACUUCCGUUCCAGCCACCUGUAGCCUGUUCCUGUUCCUGCCUUUACCAGUCCCCGCAGGUUCAUCAGUCUCAUCACUUCAUCAGCCUAUCAGUCUAAACAGAUGUCAUCAGCCACCACCAUCACCAGUGUCUGGACUCCAUGGGGGAUCUAUCUCACAGCUGCUCAGGGAUGCUGUCCCUGUAGAGGACACCAAAGACUUUUGUCAUGACUAAUCAUCUCUAUCUCUGUUAUAAUGAACAUUAUCUUUACUUCAUUCACAUGUCUCUCCUGAUUUGAAAUGAGAAAAACUAUGGUUGAGGUAUGGUUGGGAUGAGGCAACUAAAACACUUAAAUUAGUGAGAAAUUGUGGUUACGGUUAAUAAAAAGAGAAAGCCUUACACACUGGAUGCCCAAACCACUCUGCCAUCCACCCCCUCACUUUCCACUUUGCUUCAUAAAGGGCACAUUACUUCCUCCAUUAGUACUGAACCUUGUCACUGAUGGUAGACUCUCAGUUUUAUAAUUUUUGUGUUGAACAAGACGGUUAUGUGUGCAACAAUGUUUCUGAAAGUAGCAUAUACAUGUUCUGGAAUAAAAAAAGAAACAAGAAAUUCUAUAAAUUACACGCUUCUGAAUCUGUAAAAACACUUCAAAUUUCACUUGAAUCGUGUUUGUUCUAGCAUUUUAAAUUCUUUAAAUGGAUAAUUCAUGCAUACUUCUAAAGAUUUUAGUUCGGUUGUGAAGACGAACAACUCUCCCCUGAAGGCUGAAAAAGCCAAAUGUUCUCUCAGAAGCCUCUUCUGCUGUUGCUUUGUUGACAGUGAGCGGGGAAACUGUGUGUUCUCAUGAAAUAAACUGGUUUGAGAUUUUA